AUUCUGGACUGUGACUGCUGUGGUUUCCUCAUCUACAGAUAAACAAAGCUCUGUUUGAGUGCAUUUUAAGCAAGUUGAAAGCGGAGCUUGUCGUGACUGUGAGGAGCACUAAGGAUUCUUCAGCUGGUGUUUUCACAGAGACAUCCAAGAGCAGGGCAUCACCAGGUGACAAUGCAUUUCUUUGAUGUGGGUGCCAGUUGAAACCUCACAAAGCUACUUACUUCCAGCAGCAGCCACACAAAUUUGGCUGAGCUUGAGAUGUUGGACAGAAUCUGAUGUUUCUGUUUGAAUCGGGAUGUGGGAUUUCUACAACAAGCUGAAAACAUAGAAAAUAGAACAGCACAGCAUAGGAACAGGCCCUUCAGCCCACAAUGUAUUUGCCAAACAUGAUGCCAAGGUUUAAUAACAAGGGACUGCAGAUCCAGUGGCGCUACUAGUCAGUUCCCUCGCCUGCAGCGGUUUCGUUGUUUCGACUUUUUUGUUUUUUUAGUAUGUUUUAGUCUUUCUCUGUAUGUCUUGUGUGGGGGUGGUAGGGGGAAUAGGGGGAAACCAUUUUCAGGCACCUACCUCAAUGGAGGUGCAACUUUCUUCCUUGUCGCUUCUUCGCUCCCCUCCUCGCGGCCUUACACCUGGUUUGGUGUGACCUUUCCCGGAGUUGGGCCCAGAGCUUCAGAGGUGGCGCAGGACUGUGACAUCAUGGACCACCUUGCCGGGGGUCACCGGAGAAGCGCUCCAACCGCUGGCCUGCGGCCUACAACAACUUGGAGCCUCAGUCUGUGGAGCUUCUGCCGGUAGGCGUGGAGUGGACCUUCCAUCAUGGGGCGGGCGAUCCCUCGCCAGGGGUUGCCUGAGAAGAACUCUGACCACCGGCCUGCGGCCUACAACAUCUGGAAGCCGCGGUCUCCAGUAAGGAGGUGACCGAUUUGGGAGCUUCGGGACGCGGGGUGAGCUCGACCUGUCCCGACGUCAGCGUUCAGACCAUCCCGACCAGAGGGCUUGAAAAUCGCGCCGUCCAUAACGGCGACUACAGAGGGUGAGGGUCCCGACCACGUGUCCUCACCUUCUCCAUCAUGGUCUGGUUUGGCUCAGCCACCAAGCACGACAUCCGGAGGCUGCAGCAAAUCAUCCGAUCAGCUGAGAAGGUUAUUGGCUGCAACCUUCCCUCCAUUGAUGAACUGUACACUUUAAGGACCAGGAAGCGAGCAGGUAAGAUCAUCUCUGAUCCCUCUCACCCCGGCCAAAACUUUUUGAAUCACUUUCCUCUGGAAGGCGACUCCGGACUGUCAAAGCUGCCACUGCCAGACAUAAAAACAGCUUUUUUCCACGAGUAGUAGCUCUACUCAAUAACCAAAAAUCUGUAGCCUACUUUUGCUCUGGUAUUUUAUUUAAUUUUAAUAAAUAAUAUUUUAUUGUUAACGUUUAAUGUUUUAUGUGUCAUUCCUGACUGUCAUUGUAUGUCAUGUUGUCACUUGCAGUUCAUUCAUUCAACAAGGGAGGAGGAGGAGGAGACUGUCUGAACUGUAUUGCCUUCCACCACAGUGAAGAAUGCUAUGGUGGAUAUCUGUGUUGAAUUAUGUUGUGUAUUGGAUCCUUUUUUAACUGUAAUGUUGCAUGGCAAAUUACAUUUCACUGCACCUUAUGAUGCAUGUGACAGCAUCAGGCAGCAUCUCUGGAGAACAUGGAUAAGUGACGUUUCAGGUCUUCAGACUGAUUGCAAGGGAGGGGCGCGGGAAAGAAAGUUGGAAGAGAGGAGGGGCAGGACAGAGCAUGGGCGAUAAUAGGUGAACAAAGGCAAAGGUAUUUUUUUGAUAGGUAGACAGUUAGACAAAGGCCAGAGAUCAAAAGACACGUGUAAAUCCAAAAUGAUAAAGAGUUGUGAAUUAUGCCAAGAUUAACAUUAUGAAGUAUAAUAAGCAAUAUAAGAGAUUAACUGAUAAUGGGGUAAUAAUUCAUCUUUACAAAGAGGCAGUAAUUCAUCUUUGAUCACAUUUA